rnacentral:rRNA from 1 species
AACGAACGCUGGCGGCAGGCUUAACACAUGCAAGUCGAACGCCCCGCAAGGGGAGUGGCAGACGGGUGAGUAACACGUGGGAACGUACCCUUUACUACGGAAUAACGCAGGGAAACUUGUGCUAAUACCGUAUGUGCCCUUCGGGGGAAAGAUUUAUCGGUAAAGGAUCGGCCCGCGUUGGAUUAGCUAGUUGGUGGGGUAAAGGCCUACCAAGGCGACGAUCCAUAGCUGGUCUGAGAGGAUGAUCAACCACAUUGGGACUGAGACACGGCCCAAACUCCUACGGGAGGCAGCAGUGGGGAAUAUUGGACAAUGGGCGCAAGCCUGAUCCAGCCAUGCCGCGUGAGUGAUGGAGGCCUUAGGGUUGUAAAGCUCUUUCACCGGAGAAGAUAAUGACGGUAUCCGGAGAAGAAGCCCCGGCUAACUUCGUGCCAGCCGCCGCCGUAACAC